rnacentral:rRNA from 2 species
ACGUUUACUUUGAACAAAUUAGAGUGCUCAAAGCAGGUGCUUGCUCGCCUGAAUAUCACAGCAUGGAAUGAUGGAAUAGGACCUCGGUCUUAUUUUGUUGGUUUUCUCUAGACCCGAGGUAAUGGUUAAUAGAGACAGACGGGGGCAUUCGUACUGCGACGCUAGAGGUGAAAUUCUUGGACCGUCGCAAGACGAACAACUGCGAAAGCAUUUGCCAAGAAUGUUUUCAUUAAUCAAGAACGAAAGUUAGAGGUU